UACAGAGGGGGCAAGCGUUGCUCGGAAUUACUGGGCGUAAAGGGCGCGUAGGCGGCCUUCUAAGUCGAACGUGAAAUCCCCGGGCUCAACCCGGGAACUGCGUCCGAGACUGAAAGGCUUGAAUCCGGGAGAGGGAUGUGGAAUUCCAGGUGUAGCGGUGAAAUGCGUAGAUAUCUGGAGGAACAUCGGUGGCGAAGGCGGCAUCCUGGACCGGUAUUGACGCUGAGGCGCGAAAGCCAGGGGAGCAAACGGG
rnacentral:rRNA from 1 species